UCUAGGCCCUGUAGCCAUAAGCAGAGCAGGGACACCUUGUCUCAGAUUUAUCCAAGUUACCUCUACCCUUUCUAAUAUGUCAAAUAAUAUUUUCAGUGGAUAACAUCCAGGCCUAAGUCACCACCUAUGUAACAAUCUCUCUCUCUCUCUCUCUCUCUCACUCUCACCCUGAAUUUAUUCCAGAGAGGAGUUGAAGCCAAAGCUCAUAGUGAAACAUCAAGCCACAUAGAGAGUUCAAUAAAUGCUAGAAAUUCAGGGUUAAGGCAUCUCCACAUGUACACAGUAUAUUGCCACCUCCCAUCGUAUCUACCAGCUUGCACUGCAGUGUGUGACUCUGGUUUGUUGGAAUGAGUGGUUGGGCAAAGACAAACCCCCAGGGGCAACAUGUAUCCACAUGAAAUAUUUUUCCUAUUACUUUAAUUUAGCCUCCCUGCCUUUCUAAUUUCCUUGUUUACUGUCCUAAAGAGAAAGCAAUAUCCCCUUGAGUUUGAGCAUACAACAUGUCAAGAAACUACAGACAAGAACAAACCCAGGAAAUUAAGAAGAUAGCCCAGUAAAAUGCUGGAAUACAGAUGUGUUGCUGACCAGCAAGCUCUGACCUUGUAUGAACAAAUACAGUAUCUAAAGGGAUGGCAGAGCAACCCAGUCAAAGGAACUGACUUCCUGAAUGAGCCUGCAUUCUAGAGCCACCCCAGCUCUGGAAUGCUCAUACCUAACUGUUCCCUGGAGAAAUGCCAACUUCUCUCUUGUUUGAAACACUGCAUUUUGGAUUUUCUUUUUAAUCAGUAUGAUCUGUAUUCUAACCAACACAAUGAGUUUCAGUCUCUUCUUCCCACUCUGCACACCACUGGUUCUAUUUGAAGACCUUCUUAAUAAGAUGAAUAGAUUCCUAGUGAAGCACACUCUUUCUACUAAAUAUAAGAUUCACUUUGUCUCAUACUGGGUGCUCUGCAGCCAGACUGCUUGAGUUUGUGUCUCAGGUGUCCUUUUACUUUCUAUAUGUGACCUUGACAAUGUUAGUCAACCUCUCUGUGUCUCAUGUUUCUCAUUUGUAAAAUGGAGAUUAAAAUAGUUUCUUCCUUCUCAGGUUGUUGGGAGAUUAGAUGAGAAUCUUAGUCUGUUCAGGUAUAACAAAAUAAUAUCAACUGGGUGGCUUAUAAACAGUAGAAAUUUAUUUCUCAUAGAUCUGUAGGCUGUAAGUCCAAGAUUAAGACACCAGCAGAUUCAGUAUCUGGUAAAGACUGGCUUUCUGGAUCACAAACGACAAUCAUCUCACUGCAUUUUCACAUGCUGGAAGAGCUGAGUAAGCUCUCUGAGGUCUCUUUCCUAAGGGCACUAAUCCCAUUCAUGAGGGCUUUACCACCAUGACAUAAUCACCUCCAAGAAUCCCACCUCCAAAUGCUAUCACAUUAGACAUUAAGAAUUAGCAUGAAUUUUGGGGGAAACAAACAUUCUGUCUAUACAUGCACAAGACCAAGAACAAUAUCUGGCAAAAGUAGGCUAUCAAUAAAUUUCAAAUUUUUUAUUAUUAUUUGUUUCAACUGGCUUUCAUUUUUUAUUAGAUUGUGCUACAGUAACAAACAGUUCCCAAAUCUCAGUGACUUACAACAAAAAAGCUUAUCUCCUUGCUCACCUUGCAUGAGAGCUACAGCUCUGUUUCAAAUAGCUCCUUCUUCCCAUGAUCAGGCUGUUUGAGACACUGGUGUUCUUGUGGAAGAGGUAAAAAAUAUAUAGAUAUAGCAGAACAACGCAAUAGCUUCCAAGAUACCUACAGAACUUCUGCUCACAUUUCAUUGGACAAAGCAAGUCACAUGGCCAAUCUUGAUAUCCCUAGGGUAGAGAAGCAUAACCCACUCACAUAGAGGGGCAGUGAAAAGUGGGAAAUAAUAAUGCAGUCUACCACAUUAUCAAUCUAGUGCCAAAGCUGUGGUGCGUAAAACCACAUUCUUUGACAGCUGCGAUUUUGCUGGCUCAACAACACACCUUCUUAACUCCCAAAGUGACAAAUGGAGAGGGAGAUGUUUGAUCCAUCUGUGCCCCUGAUUUUCCACGUCCCUGAUUUUUCUACCCCUGAUUUAAGUGAUCACAACAGCAUUUUAUAUUUUUCCUUUCUUAAUCCUUCCUUCUCCUACAACUAGGGAGGCAGGAGAAAUGGGUUUGAUGGUUUUUAGGCUGCAAGGCCAUAGAAAAACUUUGGGGGUAGAUUGUGUUAUUGCUCUCAACUCUUUAUUCUCCCUUUGUACAAAAGAAGUGUAUGUCCUGCCUGUUUCCAUGAAUAUUCAGUGUCUCUUAUGAGAAAAAGAAUAUACAGCCCAGUCCUAUUGACAUAGGGCUUGGCCAUGUAACUUGCUUUGGCCAAUAAAGUGGAAAUAGAUAUAACUUAUGCCACAUUUAAACAGAAGCCCUUUGCCAUAAGAGUAGCACGUUGUAAACAGGGGUUCCUUCACCCUGUAUCCCAAGCAAAGUCACAUCCAACAGAAGCGAAGCUUUGUUGCUGCAAACCACAGAGCAUUGGGCAUCAUUUGUUACCACGGCAGAGAGAAUCAAUGUGCCUUUUGAUUUAGCACCAUCUGUCAUCACACACCCACCUCAAUCCUUUGAAGUUGGGAGGUGCAGAGCUCUAUUUCUUGUCCCUCCCUCCCUUAAUGGGCAUCAAGAUUCUUCACAGGGAAAAUGUUCCACAGAGCAUGGGAGCUUAGUUCUUCUGAGUGGCCAGUUUUGCCUCCUGUGGAAAUAGGCUCUUGUGAAUAACACCAGCAGUAGUGUCUUCUUCUCUUCCCCUCCAGUAUCAUACACUCAUAUUCAAUCCUUGAUAUCAAAUUUGAUUCUCCUCUGAUUUCUUGGCAUACUAAUUUUUUUCUGUUUCCUGCUUGGAUAACUUAUCUCAUGCUCUCCAGAAAUACUUCAUGAACUAGAGCAAAGAAAGGCAGGUAAAAGGGUACAAUAGUGACAAACAGGCAAGACCCUGCCCUCAUAGAGCUUAGAUUCUAGUAGGAAAGACAGACAAGAAAUGAUAAACAAAAACGCAACGUCAGAUGGUGAGGAGUGCUAUGUAAGAAAAAUAAAUCAAAUAAGGGGAAUAAGAAUGACAGAGUUUUACAUUAGCCUGGGUGGGCUGGAGCAACUGCAUGUGUUAACACACUUUAGCAUGGUACCACUAUGUCCACACACCGUAGACUAUGUCUUUGGCUAAACCACAGGAUGUCGCUAGCAAAAAUCCUGAGUGCUGACCAUUUUCAGUAUCUUUAGCACAUAUGGUAUCAGUCACACCUGAGAAUAUCCCACUGUGUUCUACUUGCUGCUUUGAGAACCCCAGUGCUGUCUUCUUUCUUAAUUGUAGACCAAUGUGUUGAUGACUCACCUCAGGUUUGUGUAUUGCAUUGUUUUAAAAUAUUUCUCUUUGUGCCUCAAAUUUAGAAGGGAACUCAAGACAGCAGUGAGGAAACAAGAAAUAGGAGAAAAUAUUUGUUUGCAUUUGGCAAAAGAGAAGCCGAAAAAGAGCCUGGGCUGUUGCACUUUACAACUUUGCUCCCUUCCUCCACCCCUCGAAUUGGGGUUCAUUUAUAACAGGGAAGCAGCUUGACAAGAAGCAAAUAUGACUUAUCUGUAAUAUUUUAUUUAUUUUAAAAAAGAAAGAAAGACUAGAACCAAAUCUGACUAAACUUAAAACUUACUAAUUUUGCAUGGUAGAAAGAUGAAUGUUUGUCAUGUGGGUCUUUAUUCCCUUCUAUGUUUAAAAUGUAUCUUUAAAAAAAGGUUCUAAAGGAAAAAGAAGAACAGAAGAUUCAAAACAUUUGAUCAGAACAUUUGGUACCAGCCCUUGCAUUACCAUGUCAGUCUAUGUGUCCCUGAGCAAGUUAUUGAAGUUCUCUAAGCCUUGUGAUCAUAAGACCUGUCUUUUAGGAUGUGGUUAAUAUUAAAUCAGAAUAUGUAUGCAGAACACCCAGCAUUGGACCUAGAUUCAUAUGUUCUUAAUUCAUGGUGGCCACUAUGGCUACUUUCUGAUUUCCCAAAAUGUGUCUGCUACAGUUUUAAAUGUAUAUUCUCUCCGAAAUUCCUGUUGUAACUUAAUCCCCACUGUGGUGGUGUAUUAGUCUGUCCUUAUACUGCUAAUAAAGACAUACCCAAGAUUGGGUAAUUUAUAAAAGAAAGAGGUUUAAUGGACUCACUCUUCCAGAUGGCUGGGGAGGCCUCACAAUCAUGGCAGAAGACGAAGGAAGAGUAAAGGAACAUCUUAUGUGGUGACAGGAAAGAGAGCUUGUGUAGGGAAACUCUCCUUUAUAAAACCAUCAGAUCUCAUGAGACUUAUUCAAUAUCAUGAGGACAGCACAGGAAAGGCCCGUCCAAUGAUUCACUUACCUCCCACUGGGUCCCUCCCAUGACACGUGGGAAUUAUGGGAACUACAGUUAAAGAAGAGAUUUGCGUGGAGACACAGUCAAACCUUAUCAGGUGGUAUUAAGAGACAGGGCCUUUGUGGAAUGAAUUAAAGCACUUAUAAAAGAGGCUUCAGAGACCGUCUUCCCUCUCUUUUCCUUCCACCCCUCUGCCAUGUGAGGACACGGCAUCCCUUCCCUCCUGAGGAUCCAGCCACAAGAUGCCAUCUUGGAAGCAGAGAGACAGGGCCCUCACCAGCCACCACCUUGAUCUUGGACUGCUCAGAUUCCAGGACUAUGAGAAAUAAGUUUC
rnacentral:lncRNA from 1 species